UAUAUAAUGAUGAAAACUUCAAGGAAGUGCCGUCCGAAAAAAAAAAUGUUGACGAUAAUUAAUUAAUCUGAACAUAAUUA
rnacentral:snoRNA from 24 species